rnacentral:rRNA from 1 species
AUGACAUGGAACGGGUACCAGAGAGGCGAGGACGAUGGGCCGUCGGAGUGCGACGGCAGGUACCACAGCGACGGGGACAUGGUCGCGGCACUUUCCACGCGCUGGUACGAGAGCGGGCGGCAGUGCAAGAGGAUGAUCCGCAUCACCAGCACGCAAAACGGGCGCACCGUGGAGGCCAAGGUGGUGGACGAGUGCGACUCCAACUCCCUCGCCGCGUGGAAAGCGCUCGGGCUCCACGUCAACGUCGGCGAGGCCCUCGUCACCUGGUCCGACGCCUGA